UAAUACGUAUGGUGCAAGCGUUAUUCGGAUUUAUUGGGCGUAAAGGGUUCGUAGGUGGUUUAUUAAGUCAGAUGUGAAAUCCUGAGGCUCAACCUCAGAACUGCAUUUGAAACUGAUAAACUAGAGUAUUGGAGAGGUAAGUGGAAUUUCAGGUGUAGCGGUGGAAUGCGUAGAUAUCUGAAGGAACACCAAAAGCGAAGGCAGCUUACUGGACAAUUACUGACACUGAGGAACGAAGGCGUGGGUAGCGAAAAGGAUUAGAUACCCUUGUAGUCCACGCAGUAAACGUUGUAUACUAGUUGUGGGGGGAAUUAGCCCCCUCCGUGACUGAGCUAACGCAUUAAGUAUACCGCCUGGGGACUACGGUCGCAAGACUA
rnacentral:rRNA from 1 species